rnacentral:rRNA from 13 species
CACAGACAGCUAGGAGGUUGGCUUAGAAGCAGCCAUCCUUUAAAGAAAGCGUAAUAGCUCACUAGUCGAGUCGGCCUGCGCGGAAGAUAUAUCGGGGCUAAACUGAUAACCGAAGCUGUGGAUGCGUACUUUGUACGUGUGGUAGAGGAGCGUUCUGUAAGCCGUUGAAGGUGAAUCGUAAGGUUUGCUGGAGGUAUCAGAAGUGCGAAUGCUGACAUGAGUAACGAUAAUGGGGGUGAAAAACCUCCACGCCGGAAGACCAAGGGUUCCUGCGCAACGCUAAUCGGCGCAGGGUGAGCCGGCCCCUAAGACGAGCCCGAAGGGGGUAGUCGAUGGGAACCACGUUAAUAUUCGUGGGCCAGGAGGAUGUGACGGAUCAUGAAGGUUGUUCACUCUUAUUGGAUUGAGUGGGCCGCUAAUUGGUUCCUGGAAAUAGCCCUCCAUCAGACCGUACCCUAAACCAACACAGGUGGACUGGUAGAGAAUACCAAGGCGCUUGAGAGAACUAUCUUGAAGGAACUCGGCAAAAUACCUCCGUAAGUUCGCGAGAAGGAGGCCCAGUGUUUACGCAAGUAGAUACUGGGGGCACAAACUAGGGGGUGGCGACUGUUUACUAAAAACACAGGGCUCUGCGAAGUCGCAAGACGACGUAUAGGGUCUGACGCCUGCCCGGUGCCUGAAGGUUAAAAGGAGGGGUGAGAGCUCUGAAUUGAAGCCCAGGUAAACGGCGGCCGUAACAAUAACGGUCCUAAGGUAGCGAAAUUCCUUGUCGGGUAAGUUCCGACCUGCACGAAUGGCGUAACGACUGCCCUACUGUCUCCAACGCGGACUCAGCGAAAUUGAACUCUCCGUGAAGAUGCGGAGUUCCCGCGGUUAGACGGAAAGACCCCG